rnacentral:lncRNA from 1 species
CAAAAACUUUAACCAAAAAAGUCUAAUUUAAAAAGGGGCUAUAACACUGUUAAAAUUCAAAACAGAGUUAUGGGAAUUGUUUCUCCUGGUGUAGACUUUAACAGUAAAUAACUAUUUUUAAAUUAAUUAAGUUUCAAGUCAAUAGCUCAGAUAGUAACAGAGAUCAGAGCUCCUGCUAUAGGGUAUUUACCCAUCAUUUUUUAUCUGAACUGGGUAUUUCACCAAUCCCGCACAAACAAUUGAGUUUUUUUUUCUUGUGGCUAAAUUGUACUGUCUGGAUGAAAUAUGCUUAGAUAUAUAUCACUAAGCAGGUUUGACAACAUGCUUGUACCACUUGAUAGUUCUAAUUAUGUGUAACUUUAACCAAGGAUAUUUAUUUCCCCAAUUGUUUAAUGUUUUCUGGGAUACUUUCGUUCCAUCGUAUUUUUUGCAUUUUAAAUUCAGUCUGAGAAUUGAUGUAUUCACCACAAUAUGUGUUCUCCCUUAAGAUGCUGGCCAGUAUCUGUUGCACGAUAUUACAGUACGUCCAAAAUGAAAAGUUCCAAUGGACACCCAUCACCGUGACACCAGACUAGCGUGUUCAAAGAAAUUUGACCACCCAGCUGGGUGAUUUCACCGCAAAUCGCGGUGAACAGCGUGUCCGGACACGGUGCUCGCCGGACACGCUGUUUCGCGGUGGAUUGCGGUGUUCAUGAUAUUGUUUUAAAAUAUGCUAUUUUUCAUUUUAUUUUAACCAAAAAUUAAGAUAUAUUUAUGUGUAUGUUAACACAAAAUAUCAUUGUAAUUUUUCAGUUUCAAUGUUCAUCUGCAAGGUAAUUUUGGAAACUUUUCGUAUUUUGCAGGUACAGCACUUGACACGAAGCGUAUACGACGAGACAGUGCUUAAUAAACAAUAAAACUUGUAAAUUCAGUUGUUUUAUUUAGAGUUCACUUUUGCAGUUUUGUAUGUUUGUUGCAAACUUCUGUUGUUAUACUAACAAUUACUUUAAUACGAUUACGUUAUUUAAAACCCUAACGAUUAAUCUUCGUUCACAGUUUGGCAUGGAGUUAGAUAAUUAUUUAAGAGGGCAAGAUUAUGAAAAAUAGUGCUGAGUAAGAGCCUUGGAAGCAACAACUUACAAUUUAAUAUUUUUUUUAUUUUUUUUUUGUAAACAUAAUUUUAUUAGCAUUAAAUGUCAUAUAUGUUUAUAGCCUCAU